GAGAGAAAGACAGAAUGUUACACUCCAUUUCUAAGCAACAGUAAAUUUGCUAAAUUAACUUUUUUAGCUGAUGAUAACAGUUCACUUAUUUGACUGAACCAUAUCACAUUGAAAUCACAGCCAGACUGACUUAAUGAGCACAUAACAGUCAACUUACAAAUGCCAAAUUUCAUUCUUUCCAAUAGUUCCUACAAAACAGUAUUUUACAUACUGUCUGUCAACAUACACUACCAUUCAAAAGCUUGGGGUCAGUAAUUUUUUUUUUUUUUAAAGAAAUUAAUACUUGCAUUCAGCAAGGAUGCAAUAAAUUCAUCAAAAGUGACAGUAAAGACAUAAGAUUUUAUUUAAAAUAAAUGCUGUUCUUUUGAACUCCAAUCAACAAAGAAACCUGAAAUCAAAUAUAUCAUGGUUUCCACAAAAAUAUUAAGCAGCAAAACUAUUAGAAUGAUUUCUGAAAAUUCAGCUUUGCCAUCACAGAAAAAAAAAAAAAAAAAAAAAAAAUUAAAAUAUAUAUUAAAAUAAAUAUAUAAUUAUACACAUGUAUACACAUGUAUGAGUAUGUGUGUGUUAAUACGUAGGUAUUAUUACGUAACAUUUACAGAUACAAAAUCUACUUUAAUAUAUUUUAAAAUGUAAUUUUUUCCUGUGAUGGCAAAGCUGAAUUUUUUAGAAAUCAUUCUAACAUCAUUAAUAUCAAUGUUAAAUGUUAGGGCUGUCAAUGGUAAUUCAUUCAUGUUAAUACAAUUAAUUCAAAAUCCUUACCACGCUUAAAUAAUUGAAUGCAAACAAUGCAUAUAAAUUACUGAAGCACGUGAAAUUGCGCAUUAAAGGGAUAGUUCACCCAAAAAUGAAAUUUUUGUCAUUUACUCACCCUCAAGUUGUUCCAAACCUGUAUGAAUUUCUUUCUUCUGCUGAACACAAAAGAAGAUAUUUUGAAGAAUAUGGGUAACCAAACAGUUGAUGGACCCCUCUUUGUGUUCAGCAGAAGAAAGAAAUUCAUUUAUCCUUUUUCACUAUCCCCAUCAACUAAUUUGGAGCAGACGUCACAGUUACGUCACUUGCAGCUGCACGCGCAUAGUGGUGGCAGAAAAAUAGCAGUAACAAGGAGGAAAAUGGGCAAAAUCCACAGAAUAAGAGAAAAAUGUUUUGUUGUGCCUUUGGACGUCAGAAUCAGAAUGCAAAAAAAUAUAGUCUUCAUUUUUAUAGAAUACCGUCGUUGAAGAUGCCCUUUUGAAGCUAAACCCAGACGUUUAUGUUUCAAGUCACAGACUGGACUUAUGAAACCUGCAAUGAUUAGUCUACUAUUAAAGCAUGAAUUUGAUGUAAACAGCAAGUCUAUAAUAUUCACGUAUGCAGUUCAUAGGGGACAUACAUACAUAGCAGUUACAGCAUGAAAUCUUUAAACCUAUAACAUUUUACAUAGAUAACUUUUAAACAUAACAUUUUUAUCUCACAAUUAUGACUUUAUUUCUUGCAUUUGUGUGUUUUUAUCUCCCAGUUCUGACUUUAUAACUCACAAUUGUGAAUUUAUAUCAAUUCUGACGGGGAAAAAGUCAGAAUUGCGAGAUAUAAACUUUAAGGAAAAAAGACAGAAUAACGAGUAUAUCUCACAAUUCUGUUUUUCCUUCUAUGAAUUGGGAGAAAUAAACUCGAAAUUAACUUUUUUUUUAUUCUUUUAUUCCAUGGCUUCCACAGACUGCUACUGCAGAACUGUCAUUUUCUGCCACCAGGUAGGCCCCGCCCACAAAAACGUCAUCGCUGUUUGCAAACACAAAAUAGGUCUAUAUACAUACAUACAUACAUACACACACACAAGCUGCAUCUUCCAGAGGUCGCAUUUAAAGGCUGCAUACAUCAUCAAGGAUGUCUUAUUUAAGAAAAGUAACCAUAAUAAAAUUGAUUGUUAUUCCUUGUGAGGUGUAAAAUACUGUAAUUUAUUUCUUUUCUUAAAUGAGAUCGCUUCGAUGACAUAUGCAGCCUUCAAAUGCGACCUCCAGAGGAUGCAGCCUUCGAAAUGAGAUGCAGCACAUCACACACCAGCCACUUCAACUGCUCGUUAACGCAAUGAUUUCUUAAAGGAACAGUUCACCCAAAAAUGAAAAUUCUAUCAUCAUUUACUCACCCUCAAGUUGUUCCAAAACUGUAUGAACUUCUUUGUUCUGCUGUACACAAAGGAAGAUAUUUGGAAGAAUGUCAGUAACCAAACAGAUCUCGCCCCCAUUUACUACUGUAUUAGGAAAAAUAAAUACUAUGGUAGUAAAUAGGGGCGAUAUCUGUUUGGUUAAUGACAUUCUUUCAAAUAUCUUCCUUUGUGUUCAGCAGGUUUAUUCAUACAGGUUUAGAACUACUUGAGAUUGAGUAAAUGACAGAAUUUUAGGGUGAACUAUCCCUUUAAGGAUCAUGUGACACUGAAGACUGUAGUAAUGAAGCUGAAAAUUCAGCUUUGCAUCACAGGAAUAAAUGACAUUAAAAUAUAUUAAAAUAGAAAACAGUUCUUUUAAUUUGUAGUAAUAUUUUGCAAUAUUACUGUUUUUACUGUAUUUUGAUUAUGUAAAUACAGCCUUGGUGAGCUUAAGAGACUUCUUUCAAAAACAUUAAAAAAAAACAAAAAAAAAAAAAAACAGUAAAACAUUAUUUUAAAUUGUAAUAGAAAUCUGACCAAUCCCAAACUUUUUAAUGGUAGUGUAUUUGUCAAUGUAUGUAAAAACAUUUACCUAAAAAUAUGGAUUCAUUUUCAUUGUGUAAUACAUGACUAAUAUGUAUAUUUUACAAACACUGUAGUAUAGGGUGUUGCCAACUUUUGUGACAUGGUGUCUUUUUUAUUUUAUUUUUUAAUAUAUAAUAGGUUUAGUAGUUUACUGCUUUGAUGUUGAGUCAUGUGGUGAUAACCCAAGAAUGCAUCUUUACCAGGGUGAAAAAUUAAACAUCAUUUUGCUUUGUCUGCCAGCCACUGUGGUGGGCAACCUGUAAGGCAUCUCAGAUUAUCCUUGAAUAAAAAAAGCUGUUGGUCUCUAAACAAAAAAGAUGCCUGAUUAUUUAAAGGGAUAGUUCAUCCAAAAAUUAAAAUUUGAGGUUUAUCUGCUUACCCCCAGGGCAUCCAAGAUGUAGGUGACUUUGUUUCUUCAGAAGAACACAAAUGAUGAAUGCGCUCUGACAACGGAAGUGAUCUCUCGCACUCACUGAAGUAUAAGAGAUCACUUCCAUCAUCAGAGCAUGUUUUCAGACCUCACACACCGGAUGCUCAAGGCAGUUGGACAUAGUGGUGUAUUAGAGGUAAAAAAUGAUAUAAAUACUGUUCGGUUUCUCGCACAAACCGAUCGUUUCGUGUCUUAGGACAUCAAUGUGUCGUCACGAGCCGCAGGGUUUAAUUUGGAUUUGUCU